UUUAUUUUGUAGAACAUUUGCAAAGUUUUUCACUCUGCAAUGUUCUUCAAUUUUUUUUCCGAAAAUGGUUAAAUGUUUUGAGAGUGCAUUUUCAAAUUGUGAUCGUCGUUGUUCUUCGUUACUGUUAGGGUGAUUUUUCUGAAACAAUCAUUUGUUUCAAAACAGUUUCACAGUGGUUGCAUGUUUUGAGAUCGUUAUCAUCGAUGUUGAUCGUCGUGGUUGAAUAUUUCACUGGAGUGAUCAUCUUUCUUAUUUUGAUUAGAUUUUUGUUUGGAGAUUAGCAGAUUGAUUCCGGUUUUUGAAAUUUUCAGUUAACAGUUUCUUAUUUUGAAGAAUCUCAGUACUUUUAUCAAGAGCAAAUACAAGGGAACACUUCUAUCUUGCUGUGCAAAAAAUGACAACAAUGGUCUUUGAUUUUUGUUGAUGCACAAAAUCCGGAGGAUCUUGG